AGUAAAACCUAUGUGCCCCUCUGUGUCCUGCUCUACUGAGGAUCUUUGCGCCUUCAUCGACGCUCCUUUUACUACGUCCACACCACUCAAAAGGCCACAGAUGGAUAAUAGCAUCGAUGUGGUCAAAGACACCUCAUCGAGUAUAAAGGAGUCCACAACUUUUGAUUCCACAUUUGAUCCUGAUACCACUCAAGAGGAUAGUCAAAAGGUUUGCCAACCCCUCUAAAGUGCAGUAAAAUACAUAGUGUACGAGGAGAACUUGUUGGACGUAUUUAAAAAGUGUCCAGUGUGUGCACAGACCUGCACUGUAAACAAAUUCGUGAUUGGAACCUUUGUGUCAAUCACACAGAUAUGUUCUCACUGUGUCCACAAAACCCAGUGGAGCAGCC